rnacentral:rRNA from 1 species
ACCCGCUGAAUUUAAGCAUAUAAGUAAGCGGAGGAAAAGAAACUAAAUAGGAUUCCCUCAGUAAUGGCGAAUGAACAGGGAUGAGCUCAGUAUGGAAAUUGGGGCCUGUGGCCUUGAAUUGUAGUCUGGAGAUGUACCACCAACUGGGGCGCAGAUGUAAGCCUCUUGGAAAAGAGCAUCAAUGAGGGUGAGAGUCCCGCUUGGCAUCUGCAGUCCCCAGUGCACGGUGUACCUUCUAAGAGUCACGUUCCUCGGGAUUGGAGCGCAAAUCGGGUGGUAAGUUUCAUCUAAAGCUAAAUAUAGUUUCGAGACCGAUAGCAAACAAGUACCAUGAGGGAAAGGUGAAAAGGACUUUGAAAAGAGAGUUAAAAGUGCCUGAAAUUGCUGAAAGGGAAGCGAAUGGAACCAGCGUAACUUGGCGAGAUUGCUGCGUGUCAAUGUGAUUGCUUGCUGCUUCAACGUAAGUGUUGUAGUAAGUCUUGAACAGGACAUGCGCGGUGCUUCUUGCCUUGUGUGUCACCGUCAGUUCGCAACUGGGGAAAACUUCAGGGACAUGGUAGCCUGUCUCCGGGUGGGUGAACGUGUUUGCUGGAACUCAUUUGCGGAUUGCUUGGUGACUAAAUGGUUCCAUCUGACCCGUCUUGAAACACGGACCAAGG